GUCUCCCCUCAGAGACGGCCGUCAGCAGCAGUGGCAGCAUCGUCUCCAGGCCAGGGUACCCCGGGGGUGGCUCCUGCCCCUGCUUCUCCUCCAGCGUGUGGGGUGCUGCAGGAAUGGCUGGUCACCGGGGGCUGUCCCCACCGCUUCCCUGCCCCAUGGCCACAUCCCUGGGGACGUACCGUGGUCAGUGGCAAAGCAGUCGAUGAUGUCCAUGUUCUCCCAGAGCGCCUCCACAUCCUGGCGGGUGCCCAGCUCCGGCCGCACGGCUGCACGGCCCUUCCCCAGGCGCCCCAGGUCGUCCUGGCUCAGGAACAGGUGGUGCGGGGCCACCUCACACGUCACCGGCAUGCCCCUCUGCUUGGCCGCCUUGAUGAGGAGGAUCUGGGGCAGCCGUGGUUAGUGGGGAACCCCAGGGCCCCGUGCUCCAUCCCCGGAACCCAGCGUUCCCCCUGCUCACCUCCUCCCUGCGGGCCACGUGGCAGAUGUGGACAGGGCGCUGGUACAGCUGGGCCACCAUCAGCACGGCGGCCAACGUCUGCCGCUCUGCGUGUGCCACGAUGGGCAGGUGCCGCGGCCACUGCUCCAGGUGCUGCGGGAACGGGGCUCGUGGGCAUCGGCACCAGGACAGACCUGCCCCGUGCCAGCCCCUGCCCUCCUGCUCACCUCCAUCCACAGCGACAUGUCGUCCAUGCGCAGGGUGGAGAAGGUGUCGUUCAGGUACAUCUUGAGCCCGGCGGCUGCCGUGCCCGACGCAAAGUCCUCCUUGUGGGUGCCACCCGGCUCACGGAGGUGGACGUGGACAUCGAUCAGGCCUGGGGAGUGUCAGCAUCAGCACGAGGGACAUCCCGCCAGCGCAGCAGGCACACAUCUAUCUCCGCAGCGCCUGCAGACGUGCCCAGCCCAGCUCCCAGCACUGUCCCCGCUCCGUGCUGCGCCCCUGGGGCCACUGAACACCCACCUGGCAGACGGAUGAGUUUCUGGGAUGUCAUGCAGUCCACGUGCAUCUUCAGUGGGGGGGCUGCCCCAAUCUGGCCCAGUGCCUGCAGAAAGAGCAGCCAUGAGGCAGGAGACCCAGGGUCAGGGUGAUGAUGCCUGUCCGAGGUGCACCCCAAAAACAGCCCUGCACACAGAACCUGCCCCACAGCACCCACACCAGCACUUCUGCAACCCUACUUUGCUCCCUUUCCUUGCACCCACGGUCCCCAGGUGCCCCAGCCCACCUCUACGAAGAGCUUCGUGCACUUGAUGUCGAUGAUGAGGGGCACGGAGUAGUCGACAGCCAGGCGCCGGGUGCGGUACCCCUUGGUGACGAAGGAGGAGAGCCGGCGGCCCCCCGAGUUGCGCAUGGACAGGUUAAUGACCAUCUCAAAGUGGUUCUCGGCCAGGUAGUCCAGGAUGCUGCGCUGGGUCUCCGGGCACCAGCCUCACUGCUGUCUGCCUCCUCAAAGUGCCAGUCCACAGCCUUCACCUGCAGGCAGUGACCCUGUCAGGACCCUGCAGCAGCCCAGGGUGACCCUGGCCCUGCAGGCCCCCAGCCCUGACCUUGAUGCCGUGCUCGGUGUAGAAGUCGGCGGUGCCGAGGCUGGCAUACAGGUUGUAGCCAAGGUUCUCCAGCGUCCGUACCGUGGGCAGCAGCUCACUCUUGUUCUGAAACGAGCCAGGGGCCGGUCAGAGGGCAGAGAGGGAACCCCAGCCUCCCAGCAGUUUUACCCCACAUACCUUGUAGCUGCCUAUGGUCAGCAGAAUGUUCUUCUUGGGGAUCUUGAAGCCAGUGCUGAGCAUGGCCUUCAGAUACGCCUCGCAGCGGUUCUCCCCAAAACAGGCAACCUCACCUGUGCUGGUCAUCUCCACACCCAGCACCACAUCAGCGCCCGCCAGGCGUGAGAAGGAGAACUGGGGCACCUGGGGCCAAGGGGAUGCUCAGGGGCUGCCUGGUAUGUCUGUCCCUGCACCCCAGCCUGGCCCCGUGGCCCCCACUCACCUUGACACCAACGAUGCCUGUGCCCGUCAUCAGCCCCACAGGCUCCACAUCCUCACCCAUGAUCACCUGGCUGGCCAGAGCCACCAAGUCCACACCCAAGGUCUUGGAGACGAAGGGGAAGGAGCGGGAGACACGAACAUUGCACUCUAUCACCUUCAGCUGGUCAUCCUAGGUGAGAGGGGACAGAAUGAGGCAGGGCUGGGGAUGUGGGCUGUCCUCCCCUGGCCGUGCAGCCCCCAGUCCCGGGUACCUUGGCGAUGAGCUGCAGGUUGAAGGGCCCUGUGACCUGCAGCUCCUGCCCAAUGGCGUGGACAAUGGCCUUGAUGCGCUCCAGUGUCUUGGAGGUGAUGUCCUGUGGGGGGGUCACCAGUGUGGCAUCGCCCGAGUGCACUCCAGCGUUCUCCACGUGCUCCGAGAUGGCGAUGGCCACCACCACACCGUCACAGGCCACCGCGUCCACGUCAAUCUCCUGUGAGCGGGAACAUGGUCACAGCCUGUCCCUGGGGUGGGGGCCGGGGCUUUCAGGGGCAUCCCAGGGCUGGAGCAGCCCCCCCGGAUGGACCUUGGCCUCCCUGGAUGAACUUGGAAAUGACAACAGGCUGCUCCUUGGACACAGCCACAGCGUUGCUCAGGAACUUCUCCAGAUCGCUGUCCGAGUACGCCACGUUCAUGGCGGCACGCUCAGCACGUAGGAAGGGCGCACGACGCAGGGGUACCCCACCUUGCAGCAGAAGUGCUUGGCUGACUGCGGGGGAGACGGAGCUCAGCACACACGGAGAGCAGCUGGGGCAGCCCUCUCCUGUUCGCUGGGCCCCACCUCCAUGUUGGAGAGCUUCUUCCAGAGAGGCUGGCUGAUGCCGAUGGAGUCGAGCAGGCGGGAGAACUUGAAGCGGUUCUCGGCCGAGUCUAUGGCCUCCGGGGAGGUGCCCAGGAUGCGGCACUGCUGCCGGUGCAGGGCCAUGGCGAUGUUAUUGGGCAGCUGCCCGCCCAUGGACAGGAUCACACCCUCAGGGUUCUCCAGCUCGUAGAUGUCCAUCACACCUGCAGCACAGUGCAGGGCAGGGCAUGGCUGGGACAGAGCUGUGGCGACCCUCACCAGCCCCACAGCUGUCAGGGCCCCAGCCCCCUCACCUCAAAGGAGAUCUCGUCGAAGUAGAGGCGAUCACACAUGUCAUAAUCGGUGCUCACGGUCUCAGGGUUGUAGUUCACCAUGAUUGUCUUGAAGCCCAUCUAUUGGGGUGCAGGAUGAGGUGAACCCAGAGCCCCCAACCCCUACCCAGCCUUACUUUCUGACCAGGGACACCCACCCCUCAGCCCACGGGGUGCUGGGGCCCGUCUGACCUUGCGGAGCUCCUGGAUGCAGCCAACAGCACACCAGUCAAAACUCGACGCUGCUGCCGAUGCGGUAGACGCCGGAGCCAAUGACCAUGACGUGAGGCUCACGGAAGGCCAGGUCGUGCUCAGAGCCAUUGUAGGUCAGGUACAGGUAGUUGGUUUGGGCUGGCCACUCUGCUGCCACAGUGUCGAUCUGCUUCACCACUGGCAGGAUCUUCAGGUCGUGCCGCAUCUUGCGCACGGCCAGCUCGGUGCUGCAGAGAGCUGGGUGAGCGCCAGGACCGAGGCAGGGAGCAGAACAGGGCUUCCCCUCCCCGUCUCACCUGAGCACGGCCAGGGCCACCUGCUUAUCGGAGAAGCCGAGCUGCUUGGCGCGCUUGAGCACGGCGGGCGGCAUGGUGCCCUGCUCCCCACGGUAUGACUCCAGCAGCACCGCGUGGUCCGUGAUGUUCUUCAUCUUGUGCAGGAACCAGCGGUCAAUCUUGGUCAGCUCAUAGAGCCGCUCGAUGGAGUACCCGGCCCGCAGCGCCGCUGCCAGCACGAAGAUUCGCUUGUCCGUCGGUGUCUCCAGCUCCUGCCAGGCCAAGGUUGAGUGCGGCCGAGGGAGGCAGGUGGCCACCUCUCUCCCCAGAAUGGCACAGCCAGCACAGACACCCAGACCCCAGCUCUCACCAUGUCUGAGACCGGCUUCACUGUGUGAUCAAAGCCCACACAAUUCUCAUCCACCAUCCUCAGAGCUUUCUGGAACGCCUCCUCGAAGUUCCUCCCAAUGGCCAUGACUUCCCCUGCAGAAGGUGGGGUGAGCAGGCAGAUCCUGUGCCCACCACGUGCCCCGUCAGUGCUGCCCCCCGCGCUCACCCACGCUCUUCAUGGAGCUGCCGAUCUUGGUGCUGACGCGCAGGAACUUGCUGAGGUCCCAGCGCGGGAUCUUCACCACGCAGUAGUCCAGGCUGGGCUCAAAGUUGGCUGUGGUGGAGUUGGUGACGGAGUUCCUGAGGAGGUGACAGGGGUCAGCAGCUGGGGCCGUCCCACCAGGGCAGCACCUUGUCCCACACUGUGGUGGUACCUUACCUGAGGACGGGCAGGGGGAUGCCCAAGGCGAGUUUGGCAGCCACAUAGGCCAGCGGGUAACCAGUGGCCUUGCUGGCCAGGGCCGAGCUGCGGGAGAGCCGGGCGUUCAUCUCGAUGAUGUAGUACUGUGGGCAGCAGGCGGGCAGGUCAGAGGGUGCCGUGGAACAGCCCAGUGUCACGGCCAGACCCACGGCGUCCCAGAGAUGCUGCAGCACGGGGGCUGCUGCGGCACAGCCUCGUGGGACAGCUGGGGCAGGACCCACAUCCCGCAGGGUGAGGCUGGCUGGAGAUCAGGACAGGGAGGUAGAACCCGCAGGGAGCUGCAAGUACCUGCUCUGACUCGGGGUUGAGGGCAAACUGGAUGUUGCACUCGCCCACGAUGCCCAGGUGCUGCACCACCUUGAUGGCUGUGCGCCUCAGCAUGAAGUACUCGGUGUCAUUGAGGGUCUGGCUGGGCGCCACCACAAUGGACUCGCCCGUGUGGAUCCCCAGCGGGUCCAGGUUCUCCAUGUUGCACACCUGGCAGCAGGGCAGUCACAGCUCCACGUGCUGUCCGUGGUGCAUUCCUCCCAGUUCCCACCACAUCC
ensembl:lncRNA